UACGUAGGGGGCCAGCGUUGUCCGGAAUCAUUGGGCGUAAAGCGCGCGUAGGCGGUCAGGUAAGUCCGGUGUGAAAGUCAAAGGCUCAACCUUUGAAUGCCGCUGGAUACUGCCUGACUUGAGUCCGGAAGGGGCGAGUGGAAUUCCUGGUGUAGCGGUGAAAUGCGCAGAUAUCAGGAGGAACACCAACGGCGAAGGCAGCUCGCUGGGACGGUACUGACGCUGAGACGCGAAAGCGUGGGGAGCGAACAGG
rnacentral:rRNA from 1 species